rnacentral:rRNA from 1 species
GACGAACGCUGGCGGCGUGCUUAACACAUGCAAGUCGAACGGAAAGGCUCUGCUUUUGUGGGGUGCUCGAGUGGCGAACGGGUGAGUAACACGUGAGUAACCUGCCCUUGACUUUGGGAUAACUUCAGGAAACUGGGGCUAAUACCGGAUAGGAGCUCCUGCUGCAUGGUGGGGGUUGGAAAGUUUCGGCGGUUGGGGAUGGACUCGCGGCUUAUCAGCUUGUUGGUGGGGUAGUGGCUUACCAAGGCUUUGACGGGUAGCCGGCCUGAGAGGGUGACCGGCAAAAUGGGGACUGAGAUACGGCCCAGACCCCUACGGGGGGGAGCAGGGGGGAAAUUUGCACAAUGGGGGGAAGCCGGAUGCAGCAACGCCGGGUGGGGGAUGACGGCCUUCGGGUUGUAAACCGCUUUCGCCUGUGACGAAGGGGGAGUGACGGUAAUGGGUAAAGAAGCCCCGGCUAACUCCGU